rnacentral:rRNA from 1 species
CGCGUGCACUGGUCCGGCCGGGCCUUUCCUUCUGUGGAACCCCAUGCCCUUCACUGGGUGUGGCGGGGAAACAGGACUUUUACUUUGAAAAAAUUAGAGUGCUCCAGGCAGGCCUAUGCUCGAAUACAUUAGCAUGGAAUAAUAAAAUAGGACGUGUGGUUCUAUUUUGUUGGUUUCUAGGACCGCCGUAAUGAUUAAUAGGGACAGUCGGGGGCAUCAGUAUUCAGUUGCCAGAGGUGAAAUUCUUAGAUCUACUGAAGACUAACUACUGCGAAAGCAUUUGCCAAGGAUGUUUUCAUUAAUCAGGAACGAAAGUUAGGGGAUCGAAGACGAUCAGAUACCGUCGUAGUCUUAACCAUAAACUAUGCCGACUAGGGAUCGGACGAUGUUAUUUUUUGACUCGUCCGGCACCUUACGAGAAAUCAAAGUGCUUGGGCUCCAGGGGGAGUAUGGUCGCAAGGCUGAAACUUAAAGAAAUUGACGGAAGGGCACCACCAGGGGUGGAGCCUGCGGCUUAAUUUGACUCAACACGGGGAAACUCACCAGGUCCAGACACAAUAAGGAUUGACAGAUUGAGAGCUCUUUCUUGAUUUUGUGGGUGGUGGUGCAUGGCCGUUCUUAGUUGGUGGAGUGAUUUGUCUGCUUAAUUGCGAUAACGAACGAGACCUUAACCUGCUAACUAGCCCGUAUUGCUCAGGCAGUACGCCGGCUUCUUAGAGGGACUAUCGG